UGUCUAGCUGAACUCAACCAGUGGGA
rnacentral:piRNA from 1 species